AAAUCCGUAACUUGAUCGGCCACGUGUAUUCUUGGGGAAUUAACACACAUUGUGAGAUGUUAUUGCUUGAGAAUACACGUAGCUGACAAGAUUAAAGGCAUC
rnacentral:pre_miRNA from 12 species